UAGAAUUAUUUAUUGGUUGUAGCUGGCUCUCCAGGGAGCAUGUGCACACCUUGUCAUCUUUAUAUCUCCACCUGUGCACUUUUUGUAGACCUUCUCAGGUCUAUGUUGCUUCAUUUUACCCCAAUGUAUGUCAAUAGAAUGUUGUGCCUAUGUAAUAUAUA
rnacentral:misc_RNA from 1 species